rnacentral:lncRNA from 9 species
CUUGCCCAUAAAAGAAAAUGUUUUCCCAUUAUCUUCUAUAAUCUGUCACUCUAAUAUAUUGUGUUGUACUUACUUUGAAGAGGGUACACGUAGGUAAUUUUUCUCCUUGUUAUUUGAACCAGCAUUGCAUUGCAUGCACACUUACUCGUUGCCAAGCACUGUGUAGGUUCUCUUUCUAGGUUCUCUUAUGAUAGACUGAUUGCACUACUGGUCUUAAUUCUUCACACUUGCCUAGAGCCACUCUGCCCUGAGAAUUCCUAUCUCCUCUAAAUAAAGAGGUGCAAUCUAGUUCCUUCUCCCUUGAAUCAGGGUUUUCCUCUGGCUGACUUUGGCCAAUAAGAGCUGGAAAUGACAGUGUGUCAGUUCCAAGCCUAGCUCAGAAGGCAUUGCAUAUUUUCCUCUGACUCACACACUCUGCCAUUACCAUGAGAACAUGCCUGGGUUAGCUGCCUGCAGAGCAAAAAUAGCAAAACCAAGUCAUCUCCGUUACCCCAAUGGGGGCCAACCCAGAGUAGCCAAUAAGACACCAAUCUUUGUACAUAUGGAGAUAAUGCCCAGUGGAGAGAGAAAACCCAUGAUGUGGAUAUAUAGAAAACUAGAAAUUUGCUCCAUUUCUGAAAGCAACUAAUGAAGUCAUCUUUGGGAAGAAACAGAGCAAUGAAGAUAUUCAUCACACAAUUUGAAUGAACAGUGACUGGUAAGUUAAUUUCCUUUCACUGAGAAACUUGGACUUUGUUGCUAGAAUAUUCUAUUUGGAGCAUGAAUCCCACAAAUCACUGAACCAUUGAUUUUAAUACUAAAUUUAUUUUAAAACAACUUUCAGGGAGUUCCCAUCAUGGCUCAGUGGUAACAAACCCAACUAGUUUCCUUGAGGACGUGGGUUUGAUCCCUGGCCUCGAUCAGUGGGUUAAGGACCUUGAGGUGGGCUGUGGUGUGGGUCACAAACGCAGCUUGGAUCCUGCAUUGCUGUGGCUGUGGCAUAGGCUGGUAGCUGCAGCUCCAAUUUGACCCCUAGCCUGGGAACUUCCAUAUGCCAUGGGUGCAGCCCUAAAAAGACUAAUAAAAUACUUUUAAUGUUUUACAUUGUUGAUUCAACACUCUUAGGAAGAUAAGUAAAGUGUAUAUUCAUCACUUGCAUUUUAGAGAUUGUAUAAAAAGAAAGAAGUACACAUCCAAAGGGACACAUACAAUGUUUUUUAAAAAACUCUACAAAUUCACUUUUAUUCUAUGGAAAUUUUCAAAUUGAAGUAUUUCUUUCAGUCAAAUCCACCUACAAGCAUAAAUUCUAGGUAUUAAUAGAUAUGUGGAUCAUGUUAAAUUUGAUAUAAAAGUAUAUAUUUAUCACCUGUCCACCUGUAAUUCUGGAUCAGUGAGUGCUUCCUUCUCUGG